rnacentral:tRNA from 1 species
UUUCAUAUAACUUAAUUUAAAGUAACAAAUUCUUAUUUUGUAGAUACAUAAAAUACUUAUAUGUUAUGAAAA